CUCUCCUCCCAUACGAUCCCCACCAGGCACCUCAUACACAUCCGCCAUUUCUUCCAAUUUGCCGCCGGCGAAGGACGAUGUCGAUGUGCCCCAUUAGGAAACUAAUCCUCAUGCUAUCCCAGAUCCGCAUGUCGCUUCUUUUCUUCUGAUUUUUCUUCCUUGGUGGUGGCACAUGUGGCUGGGUGAGCGUGUGGAUCUCGGCGAACUCGUCGACCCUGGCAACGCGGUCACGGAGAUGUCCAGUGAGAACGCGGGUUGUGCUACUCAAAGUUGUCGUAGCCAGAGUUUCUGGAUGUUGGAGCUGCGAAGGCAUUGAUGGAGUUCGUGGAUGAAGAAAUAUAUGCAAGACGUGAGUAUCUUCUGCGAGUCGAUGUUAGUUGUUGCCCUCCUGCUGUCCAGACUUCUACCAAAUCACGAAGGGCCACUUCAAGUCGCUUGGUGACAUAAUGAUUUCAGGAGCAUCACCUGCAAGCCUACCUUCAGUUUUAGCUCGUGGAUUGGAAUUCCUGGGAAGGUCAUGUUGUUGAGGAACUCUGCUAGACACAUAUUCUCCAUUGUGUUGUAAUUCAUUGUUGCCUUGCAUACAGUGUCCAAGUAUAGGAGCAAAGCUGCAAUGCCAGAUGAUACUACCGAAAUCACUUUCUUUCCUUCUGAUCGUAGCUUCGUUGUAAUUGCUUUCCAUAGGGUGUCCAUAGUAGAUUCUCCCAAUAGCGAAGCCCCUUUUCCGCUCCUCAGGUUUUGGUUUCGCUUUUCCAUACAAAUUUUGAUGGUAAUUCUGCAUAGGUUAAUUCUUUUCCCGCCUCAUGUAUUUUGUUUGCCUCCAUCCACUCAGUGAACUUAGUACUCGUGGAUCCUGGCCUUCUUACUAUCUUCUCUAUGUCAGUGGAGUCCAGAAAAAUAAGUUCUUGCUCAUUUUUAAUGUGGAAUGGUAGUCUCUCGACUGGUGGAUCAUGAUGGUGUAUAUCAAACAGGAAUGUUUGCCAGCAUGCUUCAGUUGUUGAUAUGUAUC